rnacentral:rRNA from 1 species
AAAGCCCAGCGCAUAAUCUCCCGGGUUACCAAACCUGCGGCGAAAUGUUGCGUUAAGGGAAAGGUCGUUUCUAAGCCCUGCACAGCGUGUUCCUAAAUACGCUAUGAAUGAGCGCGGUCUCCGAAAGGAGGCUACGGUUCCACAGAGGGUGACAGACCCGUGUGGGCACGCGUAUAUAUGUGCAUGGGUUCGGCUUUUAUUCCCUGAGAGUCGCGUUGCUUGAGCAUGCAGCGCUAAGCAGGUCGUAAACUCGACCUAAGGCUAAAUAUUUCCACAGAACCGAUAGUAAACAAGUACCGUGAGGGAAAGUUGAAAAGCACUCUGAAGAGAGAGUCAAAAGACCGUGAAACCGUUUAGAGUAUAAGCCAAUGGUAUUUCGGAAGGCUGGGAGCAUCCCCUCUCCUUGUUAAAGGGUAAGGAUAUCGUGUGUGUAAAAAAGGGGGCAGACGUGGAACACAGUGGCAUUGAGUUGAUAUCACUCCUUCGUUAAACUUGCGGGUCUCUGACAGUGGUAACAGGGAAGGUUCUAAUGAGGAACCGUCCCGAGGCUGGACUUGUGCAAGCGUCUGCUUAUCAACACACAAACGAGUGCCUUCACACAGCCCACCACAACUCUUUACGAGGUCACCCACACGACACAGCGAGUCGAUGCGAGCCCCUGUUCAAUAUGCUACGGGCAGGGGCCGGCGGCUCAAUUGUGUUUCCAACGUGUGCUGGUAUGAUCCUCUGUGAAGGUUGCUUUCUGACCAUCCUAAUGCGUGGAUGUUGGCUCUUAGACUGUUGGAGUUCGGCUUAAUGACCCGCCGGAGUGCUAGUUAGAACUGUGUUCGCGGCGGGUGAUUGGUGUCCAGUCCGAAGCCAUUGGUCACGUCUCGAAACACGGGCCAAGGAGCAUAGCAUGUGCGCAAGUCUAAGGGUCUCACAAAACCUGGAGGCGAAGUGAAAGCAAGUGGUGUGUCUGUCGCUCGCCAGAGAGGCAGGCAGCUCCGUGAUGUACGUAAUUCCUACGUAGAUGAAUGCGUCUCGGGCUUAUACCGGGCUGAUCCGUACGUAAACAAGACAACUGUCGCUACGACGGCGCAAGCUCCAGGCUCUCAACAUGGGACGCCGUCUCUAUGGGAGCACUGUGUAGCGUGCAUGCUAUGACCCGAAAGAUAGUGAACUAUGCCUGGCGA